rnacentral:lncRNA from 1 species
CUUUUGAUAAAGAACUUGAUCCAGCUUAGGCUUCCAUAAACACCUGUACUAUAAACACCUGUACUAUCUCGCCAACCCCAGGUUAACUCACCCGUGCCUCUUUCACUUCGUUAAGUAGAUUGAUUUCAAGCCCUUAAGUAAUUGGUGUCCGGGGUGGUAAAUAGGGAAAAUAAGCCUUAGCCCUUAGCUUAGCUCCGGUGGGCAUGAGAACUGAGAUAAGGAAGCUUCCCUAGGUGGUAUUGUAGACGAGAAUGAAUAGCCAGUCUCAGUGAUACUAGACCUGCCCGUUAACCCUUACUUAAAGAAUGGAAUAAAGAAGAAAUAGGGAGUAGUUGGUUCUCUCUUUCUAAACUAGCUAGGAGUAAACGUUAUCCUAAUAUAAGAGAAAUAAUGCAUGUAGUAGAGAAAUAGUAUAGAUCAUUAGUUAUGGCUCUGGACUACUCUUUUCUUUAGUUCAAUACUCUUUUCUUUUCCUUCUCGAUAGUGGGAAUUUCCCUCGCCUCAAAGCCUGUACUUGAUG